CCCUUCGGGGUGUUUUAAUGGAGAACGGGUGAGUAACACGUGGGCAAUCUGCCCUUCACUCUGGGACAAGCCCUGGAAACGGGGUCUAAUACCGGAUACGACACACGACCGCAUGGUCUGUGUGUGGAAAGCUCCGGCGGUGAAGGAUGAGCCCGCGGCCUAUCAGCUUGUUGGUGGGGUGAUGGCCUACCAAGGCGACGACGGGUAGCCGGCCUGAGAGGGCGACCGGCCACACUGGGACUGAGACACGGCCCAGACUCCUACGGGAGGCAGCAGUGGGGAAUAUUGCACAAUGGGCGAAAGCCUGAUGCAGCGACGCCGCGUGAGGGAUGACGGCCUUCGGGUUGUAAACCUCUUUCAGCAGGGAAGAAGCGAAAGUGACGGUACCUGCAGAAGAAGCGCCGGCUAACUACGUGCCAGCAGCCGCGGUAAUACGUAGGGCGCAAGCGUUGUCCGGAAUUAUUGGGCGUAAAGAGCUCGUAGGCGGCUUGUCACGUCGGAUGUGAAAGCCCGGGGCUUAACCCCGGGUCUGCAUUCGAUACGG
rnacentral:rRNA from 1 species